CGAUUCUGGCUCAGGAUGAACGCUAGCUACAGGCUUAACACAUGCAAGUCGAGGGGCAGCAGGGCAAUAGCUUGCUAUUGCUGCUGGCGACCGGCGCACGGGUGAGUAACGCGUAUCCAACCUACCCCGCGGUCAGGGACAGCCCGGCGAAAGUCGGAUUAAUACCUGAUGCAGUCAGAAGAGGGCAUCUGAUUUUGACGAAAGAUUGAUCGCCUCGGGAUGGGGAUGCGUAGGAUUAGGCAGGCGGCGGGGUAACGGCCCACCGCGCCGACGAUCCUUAGGGGUUCUGAGAGGAAGGUCCCCCACACUGGUACUGAGACACGGACCAGACUCCUACGGGAGGCAGCAGUGAGGAAUAUUGGUCAAUGGGCGCGAGCCUGAACCAGCCAAGUAGCGUUGCAGGACGACGGCCCUAUGGGUUGUAAACUGCUUUUAUGCGGGGAUAAAGUGCGGCACGUGUGCCGUUUUGUAGGUACCGCAUGAAUAAGGACCGGCUAAUUCCGUGCCAGCAGCCGC
rnacentral:rRNA from 1 species